GACGAACCGUCCGAACGUUAUUCGGAAUCACUGGGCUUAAAGGGUGCGUAGGCGGCACGGAAAGUUGGGUGUGAAAUCCCUCGGCUCAACCGAGGAACUGCGCCCAAAACUACCGUGCUCGAGGGAGAUAGAGGUGAGCGGAACUUAGGGUGGAGCGGUGAAAAUGCGUUGAUAUCCUAAGGAACACCGGUGGCGAAAGCGGCUACACUGGAUCUUUUCUGACGCUGAGGCACGAAAGCUAGGGUAGCGAACGGG
rnacentral:rRNA from 1 species